rnacentral:rRNA from 1 species
UACGGAGGGUGCAAGCGUUAUCCGGAUUCACUGGGUUUAAAGGGUGCGUAGGUGGGCUGGUAAGUCCGUGGUGAAAUCUCCGAGCUUAACUCGGAAACUGCCGUGGAUACUAUUAGUCUUGAAUACUGUGGAGGUAAGCGGAAUAUGUCAUGUAGCGGUGAAAUGCUUAGAUAUGACAUAGAACACCGAUAGCGAAGGCAGCUUACUACACAGUCAUUGACACUGAGGCACGAAAGCGUGGGGAGCAAACAGG